rnacentral:ncRNA from 1 species
AUCAGACCGUGACGUGCUGAUCCGCAAGCCUGCAUGUGGUCGCUUGGGCUGCGGGGAGCGAGUAGCGAAACCUGCGCGGAUGUC